CGGAGGAUCCAAGCGUUGUCCGGAUUUAUUGGGUUUAAAGGGUGCGUAGGCGGAUGAUUAAGUCAGUGGUGAAAGCCGGCAGCUCAACUGUCGAAUUGCCAUUGAAACUGAUCGUCUUGAAUAUAGUAGAGGUAGGCGGAAUGUAUCAUGUAGCGGUGAAAUGCUUAGAUAUGAUACAGAACACCAAUUGCGAAAGCAGCUUACUAUGCUAUUAUUGACGCUGAGGCACGAAAGCGUGGGGAUCAAACAGGAUUAGAUACCCUGGUAGUCCACGCUGUAAACGUUGAAUACUCGAUGUUAGCGAUAUACUGUUAGCGUCCAAGAGAAAUCGUUAAGUAUUCCACCUGGGGAGUACGCUCGCAAGAGUG
rnacentral:rRNA from 1 species